AUUGAACGCUGGCGGCAGGCCUAACACAUGCAAGUCGAGCGGCAGCGGGAAAGUAGCUUGCUACCUUUGCCGGCGAGCGGCGGACGGGUGAGUAAUGCCUGGGAAAUUGCCCAGUCGAGGGGGAUAACAGUUGGAAACGACUGCUAAUACCGCAUACGCCCUACGGGGAAAGCAGGGGACCUUCGGGCCUUGCGCGAUUGGAUAUGCCCAGGUGGGAUUAGCUUGUUGGUGAGGUAAUGGCUCACCAAGGCGACGAUCCCUAGCUGGUCUGAGAGGAUGAUCAGCCACACUGGAACUGAGACACGGUCCAGACUCCUACGGGAGGCAGCAGUGGGGAAUAUUGCACAAUGGGGGAAACCCUGAUGCAGCCAUGCCGCGUGUGUGAAGAAGGCCUCGGUUGUAAGCACUUUCUAGCGAGGAGGAAAGGUUAGAGUACCUAAUACGUAGUCAGCUGUGACGUUACUCG
rnacentral:rRNA from 1 species